CAGAAUUCCCCCCUUCUUCUUUAAUAUGAUUUUAAUUUGGGCCGUAUUGAAAGUACAGGCAGGUUCCUCAUGGGUUUAGUACAAGUCAUCAAGAUCACCUUUAAUUUAAAAAAAGACAUGUUUGCAUUUUUUAUUGUACCUUCGUGCAUUUCAGUGUUGCUAACAAUAUUUGUAUCUCUUCUGUACUGGUGAAAAGCAAGACAUAAAACAGUUUUAUACAAAUGUGUUCAAGUUACUAUGAUGUUUUUCACACAAUCGUGAGCAAAUUACGUGAAUUUCAUGUCGAUUACAAAUUUUAAAAACAAGAAAAAGCUUUCUGUACCAAUAAAUGCUUUGGAAAUAUUAGAAAAA